UACAGGGGGUGCAAACGUUGCUCGGAAUCAUUGGGCGUAAAGCGCACGUAGGCGGUUCGUUAUGUCGGAUGUGAAAGCCCUUGGCUUAACCGAGGAAGUGCAUCCGAAACUGGCGAGCUGAGUACGAAAGAGGAUCGCGGAAUUCCCGGUGUAGAGGUGAAAUUCGUAGAUAUCGGGAGGAACACCCGGUGGCGAAGGCGGCUACUCUGGGUCCGAUACUGACGCUGAGGCGCGAAAGCGUGGGGAGCAAACAGG
rnacentral:rRNA from 1 species